CCCUUAGAUGUUCUGGGCUGCACGCGUGCUACACUGAUAUUACCAAUAUGUCAUUCUUAUCCGAAAUGGAUUGGGUAAUCAAGUAAUGAAAUUUCAUGCUUGGAAUCGGUAAUUGCAAUUUUAUCGUGAACGAGGAAUUCCUAGUAAGCACUAGUCAUCAGCUAAUGUUGAUUAUGUCCCUGCCCUUUGUACACACCGCCCAUCGCUACUACUGAUUGGGUGUUCAAGUGAGAUGCUUAGACCCUUGUUGCAUGGUUCAUUAUUGUGCUCCGAAAGGAAAAAGUUUCAAGCUUGAGUGUCUAGAGGAAGUAAAAGUCGUAACA
rnacentral:rRNA from 1 species